UCCGAGUUGACCCCGGCAGUCUCCCAUGAGUCCCCGGCAUUACCCGCUGGCAACAUGGAACGAGGGUUGCGCUCGUUGCGGGACUUAACCCAACAUCUCACGACACGAGCUGACGACAGCCAUGCACCACCUGUACACCGGCCACAAGGGGGCCGAUAUCUCUACCGGUUUCCAGUGCAUGUCAAGCCCAGGUAAGGUUCUUCGCGUUGCAUCGAAUUAAAGAACAUGCUCCGCUGCUUGUGCGGGCCCCCGUCAAUUCUUUUGAGUUUUAGCCUUGCGGCCGUACUCCCCAGGCGGAACACUUAACGCGUUGGCUGCGGCACAGGAGGAAUCCCCCGACACCUAGUGAACAUCGUUUAUGGCCAAGACUAC
rnacentral:misc_RNA from 1 species